GGGCUUCAUGUGACAUGUAUGCAAUUAUAAACAAUACUACUGCUUGAAGGACAUUGGAGGAGUGGCAGAAGUCUCCAGUCUCUACUCUACUACAAACAAAGGUGGUGUGAUACGGGUUGUGUGCUGGUUUUCAGGUUGCCCAGCACUGUCCACUGUCAGAUGACACGGAUGGGACCAGCAGUUGUUGUAAAGGAAACUCCUGAACUGACCAGAAGCUGCCAAAGAUGCUGUCUACUACCACAAUACUAAAGUUCUGGGCAUUUAGCCCGACCCAGUACCAAGUAUGGAUGUAUUAUAUUUGAAAUUGUGGUAUUCUCA
rnacentral:lncRNA from 1 species